rnacentral:rRNA from 1 species
GCGAACGCUGGCGGGUGCCUAAACAUGCAGUAGAACGUGAAGAGAGGACUGUCUUCUUGUGAGUGCGAACGGGUGAGUAACGCGUAGGUAACCUGCCUGGUAGCGGGGGAUAACUAUUGGAAACGAUAGCUAAUACCCAUAAUAGUAGAUGUUGCAUGACAUUUGCUUAAAAGGUGCAAUUGCAUCCUACCAGAUGGACCUGCGUGUAUAGCUAGUUGGUGAGGUAACGGUCACCAAGGCGACGAUACAUACCGACCUGAGAGGGUGACGGCCACAUGGACUGAGACACGGCCCAGACUCCUACGGGAGGCAGCAGUAGGGAUCUCGGCAAUGGACGGAAGUCUGACCGAGCAACGCCGCGUGAGUGAAGAAGUUUUCGGAUCGUAAAGCUCUGUUGUAAGAGAAGAACGAGUGUGAGAGUGGAAAG